rnacentral:rRNA from 1 species
GAGCGAUGCAGAACGGUGGACAUGGAAGUCGGAUCCUGCUAAGGAGUGCGUAACAACGCACCUGCCAAACUAACUAUCCUUGAAAAUGGGUGGCGCUGUA